rnacentral:rRNA from 1 species
AGUGGCGGACGGGUGAGUAACACGUAGGUAACCUACCCUUGGGCGGGGGACAACUCAGGGAAACUUGAGCUAAUACCGCAUAAGACCACGGACUGAAAUGUUUGUGGGAAAAGUGGCGACACACCCAGGGAUGGGCCUGCGGCCUAUCAGGUAGUUGGUGGGGUAACGGCCCACCAAGCCUAAGACGGGUAGCCGGGCUGAGAGGUUGAACGGCCACACUGGAACUGAGACACGGUCCAGACUCCUACGGGAGGCAGCAGUGGGGAAUCUUGCGCAAUGGGGGAAACCCUGACGCAGCGACGCCGCGUGGAGGAUGAAGGUCUUCGGGUUGUAAACUCCUUUUCUUGGGGAAAAUAGUGAUGGUACCCAAGGAAUAAGCCACGGCUAACUCUGUGCCAGCAGCCGCGGUAAGACAGAGGUGGCGAGCGUUGUUCGGAAUUACUGGGCUUAAAGGGCGAGUAGGCGG